CCUACGGGAGGCAGCAGUGGGGGAUAUUGCACAAUGGGGGGAACCCUGAUGCAGCGACGCCGCGUGGGUGAAGAAGCGCCUCGGCGCGUAAAGCCCUGUCAGCAGGGAAGAAAAUGACGGUAGCUGAAGAAGAAGCCCCGGCUAACUACGUGCCAGCAGCCGCGGUAAUACGGAGGGGGCAAGCGUCAUCCGGAUUUACUGGGUGUAAAGGGGGCGCAGACGGCGAUGCAAGCCAGGAGUGAAAGCCCGGGGCCCAACCCCGGGACUGCUCGUGGAACUGCGUGGCUAGAGUGCAGGAGGGGCAGGCGGAAUUCCUGGUGUAGCGGUGAAAUGCGUAGAUAUCAGGAGGAACACCGGUGGCGAAGGCGGCCUGCUGGACUGCAACUGACGUUGAGGCCCGAAAGCGUGGGGAGCAAACAGGAUUAGAUACCCUUGUAGUC
rnacentral:rRNA from 1 species